CUUCUGUCUGGAGUUUGGAGUUUGGAAAACAUAGGUUGCGCUGCCUGCCAACAACUUUUGGCCACGUCAUCACCAUUGGCGGGCCACGUGACGUAGCCCACCUUCUUCCUCUUAAACCCCAUAUGCUUGAAUCAUAAAGAGAAAGAGAGUCGGCAGGUACACUGAAAUUACAAAACAAAAACCGCUGCGAUUUGUUUUAGGUACAUUCCAGAAGCCAACACCAAGAACCGAAAACAUAAACCAAAUCUAAGAUCUCUUCUGGGUUUUGAAGAUUCAAUCACAUGGAUACGGCGAAGAAGAGCGUUGUGCUUGUCUUUACAGACGAUCAAGCUUUUUGUGUGAGUUCGAUUUUUAAUGCAACGAGAGAGCUCAGGGAUGAAGCAGAGGAAUACUGUGAUCCUCACAUUAUCACUGAAGCAUCUUCAAUAAGGUGACAAAGAAUUUGAAAGAGAAAGUCCCAUUUCAUUGGAACUAGACAAAACAAUUGAAGAAUCAAGAAUUUCAAUUGUUGUUUUCUCUAAAAGUUAUGCUUCUUCUA